UGCCAAUAUGCUGGGAGCCACAGCUUU
rnacentral:piRNA from 1 species